rnacentral:rRNA from 1 species
UGCGUAGGCGGAUUAAUAAGGCAGUGGUGAAAUCUUUCGGCUCAACCGAGAAACUGCCAUUGAUACUGUUGAUCUUGAGUUCGGUUGAGGUAGGCGGAAUGUGUAAUGUAGCGGUGAAAUGCUUAGAUAUUACACAGAACACCAAUUGCGUAGGCAGCUUACUAGACCGACACUGACGCUGAGGCACGAAAGCGUGGGGAGCGAACAGGAUUAGAUACCCUGGUAGUCC